rnacentral:rRNA from 1 species
UGGCUCAGGACGAACGCUGGCGGCGUGCUUAACACAUGCAAGUCGAACGAUGAACCACUUCGGUGGGGAUUAGUGGCGAACGGGUGAGUAACACGUGGGCAAUCUGCCCUGCACUCUGGGACAAGCCCUGGAAACGGGGUCUAAUACCGGAUAACACUUCGGGCCUCAUGGUCUGUGGUUAAAAGCUCCGGCGGUGCAGGAUGAGCCCGCGGCCUAUCAGCUUGUUGGUGAGGUAAUGGCUCACCAAGGCGACGACGGGUAGCCGGCCUGAGAGGGCGACCGGCCACACUGGGACUGAGACACGGCCCAGACUCCUACGGGAGGCAGCAGUGGGGAAUAUUGCACAAUGGGCGAAAGCCUGAUGCAGCGACGCCGCGUGAGGGAUGACGGCCUUCGGGUUGUAAACCUCUUUCAGCAG